CCACUCUCUCUUUCUCUGCCUCUACUACCCUCUUAACUCCCCUCCCCAUGCCCUAAAUCAACUAUUCUAUACUGUACCGUCAUGUGGCUGGUCCCUCAUGGGGAAGGGAUGACUUGGCAUGGGCCUGCUGAGCCUCACCACACUGCCAUAGAACAUUUCCCACCCCUCUUUAUCUUUUCAUAAACACAUCAGUGAGGGUUUCAGAUCCCCUUGAAACUAGAGUUACAGACAGGUGUGAGCUGCCAUGUGGGUAUUGGGAAUUGAAUCUAGGUUCUCUGCCAGUGACUGCUCUUAACUGCUGAGCCAUCUCUUUCUAGCCACAAGUCUGAAGAUUUUGUACAUUAGAUUUUGAUAUAAUUUUUAUCAGGUCGUCAUGUGGAUGUUUCUUGCAUGGUGAUGCCUAUUGGUGACCUGGUUAGGACAGUGGUGUUUCAUAGAUUAAAUUUUAGUCAUGCUUCCUCCUUUUAACUUUCUGGAAUUUUGUGAAAAAGUCGUGUAUAGAAUUUAUCACCCAAUUCAUUCGAUUUCCUUGGGCCAUUUGUUCUCUGCAAAAGCUUGACAAAGGUGACUGUGCUGGUGCUCCGCAAUUCAAGCUGUUUUAAUAGUGGAGAGCAUUUCCCUCGGCCUGCCUCUCUCUCUUCCUGACCUCUCUGCUGUGGCAUUCAUUAAACUCCAGAUCCUGGCUCAAGUCAAAGAGUUCAGAUCUCCUCCUUGGCUAAAGAACUCUGCAUUGUGGCUUUGCUUUGAACUUCAGCUCCUCCGAGUGCAAGGGUCACAUGUGAAUUUGUUAUGCUUCCUGGCACAUGUUUCAUAGUAAAUGGAUCCGAUGAAAUUCUCAGGGAGUAUUUGUUUUUUAGUGUUGCUCUAAUACACAAUAAAUUGUAAUUUACGAGGCAUAAUUGAAGAAAAUUCUGGAGGAAGUUGUGUAUAAGAUUAGGGGGAUUAUUAAAUCAACUUUAUUGUGUUUUCAAAACUUAAAAAUGGUUUACAGCCAUAAUAAAUUGCUUGAGAGUGCUAUCAACCCAUAAAUUUUAAUAAUUUAAUAAACAUUCUGCAGUUAAGUUGGGCUUGUAGCCAAAUCCCAGGGCUGGUUUUGUGUCAUGUAUAGUAAUGUGUGUUUUAGCUUACCUGGGUGAUAAAGGAAUGAGCUGUUCUCAUGCAGGACACGCAGUGAUGG
rnacentral:lncRNA from 1 species